CCUACGGGGCGCAGCAGUGGGGAAUAUUGCACAAUGGGCGCAAGCCUGAUGCAGCAACGCCGCGUGAGCGAAGAAGGUCUUCGGUAUGUAAAGCUCUAUCAGCAGGGAAGAAAAUGACGGUACCUGACUAAGAAGCCCCGGCUAACUACGUGCCAGCAGCCGCGGUAAUAUGUAGGGGGCAAGCGUUAUCCGGAUUUACUGGGUGUAAAGGGAGCGUAGACGGCAGUGCAAGUCUGAAGUGAAAGGCAAGGGCUCAACCCUUGGACUGCUUUGGAAACUGUGCUGCUGGAGUGUCGGAGAGGCAA
rnacentral:rRNA from 1 species